rnacentral:lncRNA from 1 species
GAGACGGCAGCCACAGGGAACCUUCAGGGAGAGACCCAUGCUGACAUCCAGCCAGGCUGAGGGCAGAACCCAGGGAGCCCAGCGGAACCUCUGCAGCAGAGCCCCGCCAGGGGGCCCAGACCUCACCAUGCUCCAGCCCGCACUUCUCCUGGGUGUCGUCUCUGAUCUUCGCGAUGUCCUCUGCUGGCUUCUACGAGGUCGGCACCGACCCCACAGACAGCUCGAUGGGCUUCAUUGGGCGACUCAGGAUCGUCUCCUGGAAACUCUUGGAUCCAGGCUCCACGUGAGGGUCCCCAGGGUGCCUCCUUCGUCUGAUUGUCUGUUUUGGGAUCCUGGUCCCUCAAGUCCUCUCUGAGCCGUGAUCUCCUCUGAUACCUUCAAGA